rnacentral:antisense_RNA from 1 species
GUCUGGUCGUGGCGCACGAUCGCCGACCAC